AUUGAACGCUGGCGGCAGGCUUAACACAUGCAAGUCGAGCGAGCGGCGGACGGGUGAGUAAUGUCUGGGAAACUGCCUGAUGGAGGGGGAUCACUACUGGAAACGGUAGCUACUACCGCAUACCAUCAGAUGUGCCCAGAUGGGAUUAGCUAGUAGGUGGGGGAAUGGCUCACCUAGGCGCCGAUCCCUAGCUGGUCUUAGAGGAUGACCAGCCAAAUUGGAACUGCGACACGGUCCAGACUCCGACGGCAGGCCGAAGUGGGGAAUAUUGCACAAUGGGCGCAAGCCUGAUGAAGCCAAGCCCCGCAUGUGAAGAAGGCAUUCGGGUUGUACAGCACUUUCAGCGAGGAGGCGUUAAUCGCAGAAGAAGCCCCGGCUAACUCCGUGCCAGCAGCCGCGGUAAUAC
rnacentral:rRNA from 1 species